rnacentral:lncRNA from 1 species
AAGGCGACCAACAGAGUCAUCCAGACAGGAGACAUCGGGAGCCUGUGUGAGGGGCUGAAUGACUGCAGCACCGUCUGUCAGCUCCAGACCUCUUCCAAAAUUGCGCGGAUUGUGUGCAGAAGCUUCUCCCUGGAACACACCGUAGAUUUCAUGAUGGCCAUCAAGGACACCUUCCGGAAGGCCAAAGGAAUGCGUGUGCGUGCUGCUGGCAAGUGGAUGAUCACCUUCCUGCAGAUGUAUGGAAAGGACAUCUGUCGGGAUCUUGAUCUUUCACCGAUCAUCUACAUCCUGCGCAGCUGCAUGUCGUCCCUGCAGCACAGCACGUUCAUGCCAUUCCUGUGCCAGGCGGUGGCCAUCCUCACCCGCUGUCACGCAAACAUCACAAUGGACAGCUUCUUCCACCAGCUGUGAGCCCUCAGACAGGUACUGGCCUUUGCUCCUGCCUUUGCUGUUGCUGCGGUCCCAGCUGUAGCUUGCCUCUGCCAGAGGGAUCCUGGGAGGAAGCAGCAUGGUGCAAAUUACUCAGUCAUGACUUGAG